UUUGAAUCUAUGCCGUUGAUUGUGUCUAAUUUUGUCUGCAACGUUUUAAAAUUUAACUAUUUUGGUUGAUAUAUUAAUCAGUUCUAAUCUUAAGAGAUAGUAAUGCAGUUCCUGACUUAGGAUAUGAUUCCUGCUUAACAUGUAAUUUGGUAUGAUUUUAGUAGAGGAGAUAUUGAUUUGUCUUUAUCUGUAUGUAUAUGACAAUCGUUAAGUUUCUUCUUCUCUCCCUAG
rnacentral:misc_RNA from 1 species